GGUGGUCUCUGUUGGUGAAUCGUCGUCAUUGAGAGCUGACACCGGCCCAAAGCCUUUGCUCCGGCGUUGCGUGACGGAGUAUCGGAGUCCAGCUUCCCUCCACGAAUUGCAGAAAGUUACAGCGUAAGGACAACGCUGCUUUGUAGGCGAACCCAAGUUGCGAGUGGUGAGGCGGAAAUGGUGGAUAAGAGCAGAACUAGUGCUUGUGCUGCUC